UAUCUGCUGUACGUUUAUACAGGAGCUUGUGUUGUACGUUUAAAUGCCACGACGAAGUUUUGUUUAAACUCUAAUGCGGUGUACAUAUAAUAAUUCUACAUCGAGUGCACUUGCUGUAUUUUCAUUCGGUGGGCCUAAAUUCCGACGGACUUUUAGACUUAUAAUUGGAAAAGGGAAUUGAAACAUCAUGAAGUUCUGGAUGACUGUCCUCUCCUUGCUUGUAGCAAUCAUUCCUAAUCUUGUCGCAGCCGAUCCAUUAGACAAUAUAAAUAAACCAGCACUGGCCCUCAUCCUCAUCCCAGCAUGUCUCAUCUUCUUCAUGAUCUUUAUUUACACCUCACCUUCAGAUGAUGACGAGAACGACAGGGAUGAUGACAUCGAGAACCCGGCCGAACCCGACUACGAAAACACUUUCUUAUAAAAUUGUACAUGGAAACCUGUAUUCAAAAAAUAAUAAUGAUAAAAAAAAACGCCAAAUGAAGACUCAAAAAGAGGUCUUUAUCACUUGAUCAGCAGGUGGUUAUUAAAGACCAGUUUCCAUUAACGUACUUAUGUUUCAGUAAGAAUCGCUCAAAGGAUUACAAAAAUGAGGUCUUUAUACGCAGGUAUUACUUCUAUACUAGAAAGUAGAUUUGACUGUGUAUCUUCCCUGUGGUGUAACAUCAUACUUAUAGGCGAUAACCUUUGAUCUUUAGCGUACAUGCUUUCGUAAAAAGGUCUGCAUUAUCAAGUAUAUUUUCCUUCAAAAAAGACCCCUUUUGGUGUUUAAAACAAAAAAAGUUACGAAAUGGGCUCUCCAUGCAACCCUAUAAUGGCUUAUCGAGAAGGCCAACACAUCCACAAAUAAAGUAUUUUCGCAGAACAGAAACAUACGCAAACUUCGUGAAAAUGAUUAUUUUCGUGAAAUGUCAUGCUCUUACCCCCCACCCCCCCCCCCAUACCCUCUUUUCAAAUACUUCAACAUGACCAAAAUUACUCCUUUUGAAGAGAGAAAGUUUGAGGCUUCCAUCUUUCUUAUCAUGAACAUUGAAGGAAAACAGGUAGAAUACAGAGUAUGAAAUCUGGCCCUAUGAUGAAUACAAUAAGUUGUAAAUAUAGUGCCAAUUGUAAAUAUUUAUUCCCUUUUAAAAAAUAUUAUUCUUUGUUAGUACGAAUCGAAAUUCGUUAUGCCAAAUAUGAAAAAAGAAUAUUGUGUAGUUUGACAUCGCGUCUAAUUAUGGGACUUCGGACUAGGGUAGGGGUACGGGCGAGACCAAGGAUGCCCCUUUAGUAUUAUCCAUUAUCUCCUUUCAAUAAAGAGCUUUCCUAUUUGAAACUAGCAUUAACUCAGCCAUAUAAACCUAUUAGCAUGAUUCCCAGGAAGCAUAUCAAAUUGCCAUUCUUUAAUAUUUUGAAGGUGUAUUGUUUUUGGCACAAGCGACUAGUGAACCAUUUCCGUAUCUUAGCACCACCUACUCCCCCUCCAAUCAUUAAAAAAAGGGAAUAUAUUCUUUAGGAAUUGUAUUCUGUAUCAUAGGCCUAAUAUGCAUACAAUGUAAAUAUUGUGUAUAUGUGCAGACUUAUAGUUUUUUUUAUAUUUCAUACUGUAUUUUGUUUCAUAAUUUGUAAUUGAAUUAAAAAAAAAGAGAAAUGUGAUAGCUUUUAAAUGUAUACAAUUGAAUGUGAAUAACAUUAAAGGUUUAUGUAUAUAACGAUAAGAUGAAA
rnacentral:lncRNA from 1 species